AACGAACGCUGGCGGCAGGCUUAACACAUGCAAGUCGAGCGCCCCGCAAGGGGAGCGGCAGACGGGUGAGUAACGCGUGGGAAUCUACCCAUCUCUACGGAAUAACUCAGGGAAACUUGUGCUAAUACCGUAUACGCCCUUAGGGGGAAAGAUUUAUCGGAGAUGGAUGAGCCCGCGUUGGAUUAGCUAGUUGGUGGGGUAAAGGCCUACCAAGGCGACGAUCCAUAGCUGGUCUGAGAGGAUGAUCAGCCACAUUGGGACUGAGACACGGCCCAAACUCCUACGGGAGGCAGCAGUGGGGAAUAUUGGACAAUGGGCGCAAGCCUGAUCCAGCCAUGCCGCGUGAGUGAUGAAGGCCCUAGGGUUGUAAAGCUCUUUCACCGGAGAAGAUAAUGACGGUAUCCGGAGAAGAAGCCCCGGCUAACUUCGUGCCAGCCGCCGCCGUAA
rnacentral:rRNA from 1 species